CAGAGUUAUCAAACUCCCAACCCUUGUGAACUACUUGCUCUGUUGCCUCGGGCAAGGGGAGCCCCUCAGGGAGCCGGACCGCCGGCGGACUAACAAAACUCUUGUUAUCUAGCUGAUAUCUGAGGUACUUAUUCAAUAAGUCA
rnacentral:misc_RNA from 1 species